rnacentral:lncRNA from 1 species
GGUGGUGGUGGGGGGGGGUGCACCAGAAACCCCAGCCAUGGAUCUGUGAGAAAUCUGACCCUCUUCUGCUCAAGCCUGCAGGUUCCCUGGAGAUGUAGUCAUUCUGGGCAAAGAAAAUGAAUCCCUCCCCAGUGAGGAUGGUGCCGCUGUGCUUGGGGGCUGUCAGACAUCUUCCUUUGCAUUUGGCCUCUCCAUUUGAACCAUUGUGGCUCCUUCCAAAUCCUUUCUUCCAGUGGGCUUGUUAUAUCUGAGCACAAACUUGAAUCUGCAGCCAACUUCAGGUUUAGCCUCCCCAUUAGGCGCCCAGAGGGCAGCCAAGGUCUAGAAUGGUCAUUUCCUCAUAUAGAGUGCGUCGGGGUUGACCUGUUGAGAAAGGUGACUUUGCAAGAUAUAUACUCUUCAGGUCAGAGACUCCACUCCCAAGGAGAAAGUCCUAAGGGUAGAACAAUAUGGACUUGCACUCAGCAAUAUCACACACACACACAUGCAUACAUACACCCAUACAUACUCACAUAUACACACUUACCCACACUCACAUACACAUACACACUUACACACACAUUCAUACUUACACACAUACACAUACAUACUCACAUAUACACAUUUACCCACACUCACAUACACAUACACACUUACACAUAUUCAUAAUUACACACAUACUUACACACAUACACAUACAUACUCACAUACACACACAUGCAUACAUACUCACAUACACACACAUACAUACAUCCUCAC